rnacentral:rRNA from 1 species
GUGGGGAAUAUUGCACAAUGGGGGAAACCCUGAUGCAGCAACGCCGCGUGAGCGAAGAAGUAUUUCGGUAUGUAAAGCUCUAUCAGCAGGGAAGAAGAAAGACGGUACCUGACUAAGAAGCACCGGCUAAAUACGUGCCAGCAGCCGCGGUAAUACGUAUGGUGCAAGCGUUAUCCGGAUUUACUGGGUGUAAAGGGAGCGCAGGCGGCCGUGCAAGCCAGAGGUGAAAACCCGGGGCUCAACCCCGCGGAUUGCCUUUGAAACUGUAUGGCUUGAGUACUGGAGGGGCAGGCGGAAUUCCUGGUGUAGCGGUGAAAUGCGUAGAUAUCAGGAGGAACACCGGUGGCGAAGGCGGCCUGCUGGACAGAAACUGACGCUGAGGCUCGAAAGCGUGGGGAGCAAACAGGAUUAGAAACCCUAGUAGUCC